ensembl:antisense A830011K09Rik RIKEN cDNA A830011K09 gene
AGAGAAUGUGACCUCUGCAGGACUGGACUCUGGAAGGACCCUACCUCCAGGACUCGCCCACAAGAAGAACUGCAAAAGAGCUCCAAAGGAGAAGGAAAAAAAAAUCAUCAGAAAAACCCCCGUGCAGAUGAAGAGGCUUGAUGCUUAAUGCGCACAGAUGUGAUCGCCAGUGGUCGCCGACAAUGAAAUAUACAAGUGCACACAAAGUGAUCCGGUGAACAAGAGAUGAAAACUUUAAGGAACAAUGAAGGAGAGAGGUGCCGCUCUGAACCGGUGAGAAGAAAAAAAUUACACAGCACACCUGGGACAGAUGAAGCCAAACUAGUGCUUUUAUAAUGCCAAUCAGCGCGGCUGUUAUCAUCCCUCUAAUUAGGAAAGCUGCCUAAAACAGAGCGCACUUGGGGAAAUGGGACUAAGGUGCAGAACUGGAGUGAGCUGUUCUCCAACUCCUGAAUUUGAACCCUGGACUGAAUAAAAGCUUUAAGACCACAAGACAAACACAAAGUUUAUAGCCAACUCGUUUUUCAAGUGUAGUGUCUCUGCUACAGUCCUUGCUACUCUCUCCUUGGGAAGGUGCCUUCCAAGGUUCACCGUGGCUCCUCUGUACAUGUCCCUAUUCAGGAGGGCCUGGACUCUUCUUCAAUUUUCUGGUAUGGAAGACAUAUGUGGUAUCAAUUAUUCCAGGACCCAGAUCACUUCUUUCCUUUUAAAAUGCCACCAAGCAUCCUAAGAAAGUGUGAUGGUGUUUGGUGUUUGGAGGGUUUUAAAAUUGGGCACUUUGAAGCUAGCAGGCAGCAUUGGCUCUACACACUGCUUUAAGUAGCUUUUCCAUGCUCAUGCUCCCGAGCUACUCCCCCACUAACUUCCCAAACUGCUUCCACAUUCUCCCGCUCCUUCCCUCUGCAUGCUUCACCAAUGUGCACAUAGCUGUUCUUGGGCAUAGAUGGCGCAUGCUAGGGGGAUUGUUUGAAAGGGUAAUUAAUAGGCAUAAGAUCCUGUCCUCAUCUGAUAUAUUUUAUAACUUAUUUUUUAUCAAAAAUGAAUUUCAAAUAUUCUGUUGCCGUCUCAGACAUACCAGCAUACAGCCUAAAAAUAGGUACAGUCACCAGAGCUAUGGUGACGGAUCAAACAAAUCUAUCUGCCAUCAAACUCAUGUUCUUGACUUGGGAAUCUCUCUGUGAAACACAGGGCAUUUCUGAGAAAAGCAAAGCCUGGUGACUGAAUGAAACCUUAGAUUUAUCCCCCUAAGGACAGAAUAGUUUUACAAUCAUGCUUUAAUUUUCCUUUGUAUUUUAUACCUUUGACAUUUCGUGGACAAAUGUAAGGAGCAGCAAGGCUGUUGACAGGCCUGGGGAUGACGAAGGAAGGACUAAGCGUUUUCUUCAUUCAAACAAGGCAGAAAGUGAAACCACGUAGUCUAAUGGUCAGUGUCUCAAUAAGAUGAGAAUAAACAGAAAGAGGCUCCGUGUCUUAUUUAUAUUUUAUCAGAGGUUAUUGCUGUAGAACCGUGAAGCACAAUAAAUAGCAUUCUGUUAGCAGCCAUUUGAAAGAAAAUGUUCAUCACUUUCAAAUAAAAUUACUUCCCUCAACAAAGUGUAUACUCUAUCUAGCCUCACGUUCCUCCAAGGAGCUAAGAAAUGGAGGAUGUUUUAAUGCCCUCACACAAGCCACGUAACUAAUAAACAACUCGAGCCAGCGUUAAUCACUGACCACCUCCUACCAUGGGACAGACAGAUGCACACACACACACACACACACACACACACACACACACACACACACACACACUUUAAUUUAAAAGGACAAUGGAUAAUAAUGUGAAAAGAAAAUGCAGCAUCUGAGAUCUUAUUUACAGGAUCUAGCGGGGAAUACACUUCAGGGGGAAAAAAAGAUAUUAUGAUAAGCAGCACUUUGGUUUAUAAGAAAGCAAAGAACAGAAUCUUGAAGUCAUCUGGCUGGCUUGAGAUGUCUCUCAGAGUCACUCCAUUAAAGCAAAUUGCUCUCAUUCUAAAUAACCCUGCACAACAAAACAAGACUUUUAAGAGUAGCCAAUAUUCAAAAUGGCCUACCCAAAUAUUUGUUGCGUCUCCCACUUCCAUGUAUGUAGCAACAGACUUGUUUUGAUGUAAAACCACCUAAGUGAUGUAUGUCAUGGCCCCACUACUUCCCCACGAGUUCUAUACGUUUGCAUUUCUAGAAUAAAAGACAUCUUAUCUUUGUCU